GGGCGGGUGGCGGAACUGGUAGACGCGCAGGCUUGAGGGGCCUGUGGCCAAUAUUGGCCGUGGAGGUUCAAGUCCUCUUCCGCCCA
rnacentral:tRNA from 1 species